rnacentral:lncRNA from 1 species
CGACUUAAUCCUAAAUGUCGGUCCUUCCUCGUUCGACCUGGCGUGAUACUCCCAACCCUCUGUGGCGACGCAGAAGGUCCCCGCCAGUAGGACAUUGAGUCCCUUAGAUUCUCGAUCAGCUUGGGCGCUCCCUGCCGGCGGCUCAAGUUCACUUGCCCUUUGCAACCUCGGCGCUUCACGUACACCAGCUCGUAGAAGUGAAGCACUUCCGCCACAGUAGGCCCCUCGCACCCGGACAACCGCCAGAGUGAGUUCAUGGCCAACAUCAACCGCCACAUGUUGGGGCAAAUCUGACCAAAGGCAAGGCCAAAUUCGCACACCAGGAUUUGGAGAUUUGGCACCAGCGGGAAUGUCACUCCUUGGCGGAAUAUCGCCUCGUGAACGGCAGCAAGUCCCGCCGGGAGAAUCGAGGCCUUCUCAUCCGUUGUCGGCGGGCGCAGCUUCACGGAGCCCGGCAACCGAAACGUCUGCUUCAUUCGGUUAACACCGGCGGCGUCCAUCCGCCCUCUUGCCUCGUCGACGGCGGUGCCAUCCGAGAGGAACCACGCCGACUCAGCAUUUUGCCCAGUUACUUCUCCUUCUCCAGCGGAGCCGCUAGCAGCACUGUUGCUCGCCAAACGCUCUUUGCGCCUAGCUUUGGCAGCAGCGGCCUCACCCGCCAUUGAGCUUUCUGGACACGAACCACGACCCAUAGCUACUUCCCAGGGGAUAGUCUGGAGUGGCUCAACUUCUAGCGGUUCUGGCAGUGAGGUUCCUGCAUGGGCAGACGGACGCAACGAAUCAAUAAAAAUCCUAUCCGCCGCGCUGAACGACACGUCAGACCCGGAAUCCUCACUGCUCGAAAUCUCUAUGACUUUAGCCAUCCCAAACCCUAAAACCCACAUCAGUUAGCACAAACACAGAUCUAGCCUAUUCUCACAUCAGUUAUAGCCAAGGACAUCAAGAACAAAAACCCAGAAAAUGCCAAAAUACGAACAAACGCACUCAACCCAGAUUCGGCCAUCUAAAUCCCUAAGCACUAACGC